CCAUGCAUACAAUAUAGUGUUAAUGCACUAGAUCUCAUUAGAACUCUGCAUUUAAGCAUGCUCGGGCUAGAGUAGUAUUGGGAUGAGUGACUGCCCGGGAAGUCCUAGUUUUACAUGCC
rnacentral:rRNA from 1 species